CUGUUUUGUCAGUUCUAAUCAUAUUUUCAGACCAGUCGGCGGCCGGUCGUGCUUGGAAAUCUUAAAGAAAAUGUGACGUUACAAGUUGGAAUAUUGGUGUACAGCUAUAUAAUACUAAAUGGGUUCGUCAGCCUCGAAAGGGCGUCACUCCGGCACAAACGUUGAUCAGAAAAUAGUUUCAAUUCCGCACCAACAUUCUAACGAGCAUAUUAACGCUUUGGUCAAAGGAUUAUCAACUCUGAGAAAGACAUCGACGUUAUGUGACGUCACUCUUUCUGUAAAUGAGACUGAAAAAGGCCCGUUGAAUAAGUAUAAUGCUCACAGAUGCGUUUUAGCCGCUUCUAGCGUUUAUUUUCGCGAGAAACUGGGAGUCUCGGCGGCCGAGUUUGACGGAGAACAACCGCCAACCCCUGAAAGCAAAACCACGCCUCGAAAUGACGUCACAACUGAUGACGUCCCAAUCGAUUUUCCAAUUACCCACAAAGCGAUGGAGACGGUACUCCAAUACAUUUAUUCAGCAGUGUUAGAAUCUGACCCACGAGAUAUCCCGAACGUUGUGGAAGCUGCUGUUAAACUGGGAAUUGAUUCACUGAAAAGGAGAUGCAUCGCCGAGAUACAAAGCGGGUUCCAGCUCGAAUAUUUCCAACGUAUUCUGAAGUUAUCAGAGCAAUUAGAUCUGUCGGAAUUAAAAGACUUUGCGCUCCGAAAAACAAUUGGACAGUUUGAUGAGUUCGUUGACACAAAUUGCUUCUUGGCGCUCACAGAAACUGACAUGCAGGAGCUGGUGAACCACAGAAAAGGAGUUUUAUCAAACGAGUGUGUGAUUCCGGAAUUACAGAUGUUUAACAGCAUUCUAAAGUGGUCAACAAAGGAUACGAAAGAAAGAAAAGAGUCGACUUUAAAAUUGUUAAAAUGUCUUCAUUAUGCAAAGAUCCCACAAUCGUCACUUACUAAUUAUGUUCUUGCACAAGAUAUUGUGAUGCAAGACAAAGAAUUAUUAACAAUAAUUGAAGGACUAAUAGGAGAAGAUAAAAAGAAAAUCCUCCAAAGAUUAAAAAAACAAAUGAGCACCACAGCGCCACCUAGUGAUAAGAAUGGUGGUAUCGGGGAUGGGAAUUCCCCUCUACACAACUAUGUUAUUGUAACUGGAGGGAGGCUUUAUGACCAGUUUACUGCACAGAUUCAAGUGCUGAAUCAUAAAGACCAGACGUGGAAAGAGCUGACUCGUCUUCCGUCUACCCUUUGUCACCACUCGGUGGCGGUAGUGGGCAAUGUAUUGUACGUAGCUGGGGGUGAAGACACGGCCAUUGCUGGAGUAAAGGGGCUGUCAUCACUGUGGGCUUUUUACCCCAUGAAAAAUGAAUGGGAAACACUGCCGGAUAUGAUUCAAGGAAGGGCUCACUUCUGCAUGAGUGCACAAGAACAAUGCUUAGUAGUAGUGGGAGGGAAAAGCAGCAAUGUCAUCAGAAAUUCGGUGGAAAAAUUCUCAAUUUUAACAAAGAAGUGGGAGUUUGCAGCAGUAUUGAAACAGCCACGUUAUUCUCACGCUGGUUCAAGCUACAAACAUGAUCUUUAUGUUAGUGGUGGAGUUGUGAGGAAGUCUUCUACUCAAGACAUGCUAAAAUACAACAUUGCAACCAACCACUGGGUGGCAGUAGCGAAGAUGAAGUGCGCAAGGAGUUGUCACACGAUGGCAGCAGUGAGGGAUAGAAUUUACGUAUUUGGUGGCGAGAAUGAAACACAGGGUGUUAUACAACAUGUGUCUACUGCCAUCGAGUGUUAUACACCGCAGUGUGAUCAGUGGCACAAGGUGGCGCAAAAGACCAUAUCUCAGGUAAAAGGUGAAAAAGUGCGACAAAGAAAGCGCAUGUACAGAGCUGGAUGGGUUGGUUUACCUUGUUGGGGGUUGUAAAACUAACGUGACAGACCACAGGAUUGACACUGCCAGCUACAACCCAGAGAGUGACACUUGGGCCACACAACCAAAACUGCCACGUAGACUCAGAGGAGCCGCUUGUGCUGUGCUUGCACUUAAAUGAAGAUCUUCAGCAACCGCAUCGAUUUAACAGCUUUUAGAGUGAAAUGUAUGAAAUAUAUACUUGUAUUUAUGAAAGGACCCAAGAAAAAAAA